UAUGUGAUCGUCUCUCGCAUAUCAAUAAGCGGAGGAAAAGAAACUAACAAGGAUUCCCCUAGUAACGGCGAGUGAAGCGGGAAGAGCUCAAAGUUGAAAUCUUAAAGGGUUUCCCUUUACGAAUUGUAGUUUAAAGAAGUGUUUUCUGUUGAGGUUUUGGUAAAAGUUCUUUGGAAUAGGACAUCAUAGAGGGUGAGAAUCCCGUAUUUGACCUUUACUUUCAACUUUGUGAUACACUUUCAAAGAGUCGGAUUGUUUGGGAAUGCAGUCCAAAAUGGGUGGUAAAUUUCAUCUAAAGCUAAAUAUUGGCGAGAGACCGAUAGCGAACAAGUACCGUGAGGGAAAGAUGAAAAGAACUUUGAAAAGAGAGUUAAACAGUACGUGAAAUUGUCAAAAGGGAAGCGUUUGACACCAGUGUUGUUUUUCUGAAAAUCAAUUAAAGAACUGUUUAUGCUAAGUUGUUUAGACUUUAUCAGCUAUCUGCUUAGUUUUGAGCUUUUCUUUAAUGCACUUUUCAGUUAACAAGUCAACAUCAAUUUCUUUUGCUGUAAAAAAGCUUGAGGAAGGUGGCUUGAGAUUCGUCUUAAGUGUUUAUAGCCUCUUGCCUAUGCAGUCGGAGAGAUUGAGGUCUGCAGCGUAGAUCCUUCGGGGCUAAAUGCAUUUGUGCUAAGUUAUAGCAUUUUAUAGACAACUUGUUGACUAUGAUUUGUCUUGUAGCUUACUCGCUUAUGUUAUUUUACCUACGCUUAGGAUGUUGACACACGCGCGUGCUCG
rnacentral:rRNA from 1 species